rfam:Myotis davidii contig85619, whole genome shotgun sequence.
UGGUUGCUCAGUGGUUAGAGCAUCAACCUACAGACUGAAGGGUCUGGGUUCAAUUCCCAGUCA